rnacentral:misc_RNA from 1 species
GAUGAAGAACGUAGCGAAAUGCGAUAAGUAAUGUGAAUUGCAGAAUUCAGUGAAUCAUCGAAUCUUUGAACGCACAUUGCGCCCGCCAGUAUUCUGGCGGGCAUGCCUGUCCGAGCGUCAUUUCAACCCUCGAACCCCUCCGGGGGGUCGGCGUUGGGGAUCGGCCCUUUACGGGGCCGGCCCCGAAAUACAGUGGCGGUCUCGCCGCAGCCUCUCCUGCGCAGUAGUUUGCACACUCGCAUCGGGAGCGCGGCGCGUCCACAGCCGUUAAACACCCCAAACUUCUGAAAUGUUGACCUCGGAUCAGGUAGGAAUACCCGCUGAACUUAAGCAUAUCAUAAGCGGAGGA